AGCGUUGCUCGGAAUCACUGGGCGUAAAGCGCACGUAGGCGGACUCUUAAGUCGGUGGUGAAAUCCUGGAGCUCAACUCCAGAACUGCCUUCGAUACUGGGAGUCUUGAGUCCGGGAGAGGUGAGUGGAACUGCGAGUGUAGAGGUGAAAUUCGUAGAUAUUCGGAAGAACACCAGUGGCGAAGGCGGCUCACUGGACCGGUAUUGACGCUGAGGUGCGAAAGCGUGGGGAGCAAACAGG
rnacentral:rRNA from 1 species